CCUACGUGAUGCAGCAGUGAGGAAUAUUGGUCAAUGGGCGCUAGCCUGAACCAGCCAAGUAGCGUGAAGGAUGACUGCCCUAUGGGUUGUAAACUUCUUUUAUAUGGGAAUAAAGUGCAGUAUGUAUACUGCUUUUCAUGUACCUUAUGAAUAAGGAUCGGCUAACUCCGUGCCAGCAGCCGCGGUAAUACGGAGGAUCCGAGCGUUAUCCGGAUUUAUUGGGUUUAAAGGGAUCUUAGGCGGGUGGUUAAGUCAGUUGUGAAAGUUUGCGGCUCAACCGUAAAAUUGCAGUUGAUACUGGAAUGCUUGAGUACAGGAGAGGUAGGCGGAAUUCGUGGUGUAGCGGUGAAAUGCUUAGAUAUCACGAAGAACGCCGAUUGCGAAGGCAGCCUGCGGACUGUAACUGACGCUGAUGCUCGAAAGUGUGGGUAUCAAACAGGAUUAGAUACCCGGGUAGUC
rnacentral:rRNA from 1 species